rnacentral:rRNA from 1 species
UACGGAGGGUGCAAGCGUUAUCCGGAUUCACUGGGUUUAAAGGGUGCGUAGGCGGAAUGAUAAGUCAGUGGUGAAAGCCCCGAGCUCAACUUGGGAAUUGCCAUUGAUACUGUUGUUCUUGAGUUCGGUUGAGGUAGGCGGAAUGUUGCAUGUAGCGGUGAAAUGCUUAGAUAUGCAACAGAACACCGAUUGCGAAGGCAGCUUACCAAGCCGACACUGACGCUGAGGCACGAAAGCGUGGGAAUCAAACAGG